AAAUGUAGUAGACUAUAAGUAUACAUGAAAUAUGCUGAGUAUACUAAGUACACUACGUUUUC
rnacentral:pre_miRNA from 1 species